rnacentral:rRNA from 13 species
CAAGGAACAUAGAGCAUAUGAUGGAUACCUUGGCAUUCAGAAGCGAUGAAGGACGUGGUUACCUACGAUAAGCUUCGGGGAGCUGGAAACAAGCUUUGAUCCGGAGGUUUCCGAAUGAGGCAACUCUAAAAACUUCUUAUUGAAUUCAUAGAUAAGAAAGAGCAAACCUAGAGAAUUGAAACAUCUUAGUAUCUAGAGGAAAAGAAAGUAAAAACGAUUCCCUGAGUAGCGGCGAGCGAAACGGGAACAGCCUAAACCAAUCAAUGAUUGGGGUUGUGGGACA